GGCGUACUGGUUUCGACGGGGAUCAGAGAAGCUAGAGAAGCCAUUCGCAGACUCCGGUGCUGCGUCAUCAAACUGGAAUUUAAAGAUAAACGCUGAAGAUAAUUUAGCAUUUGCUGCUUAAUUAAAGUAGCUGUCUGACCUUAGAUUCCCGCGACUAAGAAUCAGACACCGACUAGCGGGGCACUUUGUCUCUUAAGCUUUGCGGAGAUAAAAGACCUUAUGAAGCUACCGAGUCUUAAAGCUUGUCACUAAGCGUUGAGAUGAGGGAAUGAUAAAGUAGUGACUGUAAUGGGAGAAACUCUAGUGGACGGAUUUUCGGACAGGGGUUCGAUUCCCCUCGCCUCCAUCA
rnacentral:tmRNA from 1 species